rnacentral:rRNA from 1 species
ACUCCUACGGGAGGCAGCAGUAGGGAAUCUUCCACAAUGGGCGCAAGCCUGAUGGAGCAACACCGCGUGAGUGAAGAAGGGUUUCGGCUCGUAAAGCUCUGUUGUUAAAGAAGAACACGUAUGAGAGUAACUGUUCAUACGUUGACGGUAUUUAACCAGAAAGUCACGGCUAACUACGUGCCAGCAGCCGCGGUAAUACGUAGGUGGCAAGCGUUAUCCGGAUUUAUUGGGCGUAAAGAGAGUGCAGGCGGUUUUCUAAGUCUGAUGUGAAAGCCUUCGGCUUAACCGGAGAAGUGCAUCGGAAACUGGAUAACUUGAGUGCAGAAGAGGUAGUGGAACUCCAUGUGUAGCGGUGGAAUGCGUAGAUAUAUGGAAGAACACCAGUGGCGAAGGCGGCUACCUGGUCUGCAACUGACGCUGAGACUCGAAAGCAUGGGUAGCGAACAGGAUUAGAUACCCCUGGUAGGAUAGCG